GUUUCCUCACGUGGCUGAACACACUGUUCCCAUUCUUGUUUACGUCUUCCCAACCACAUUCUUGGCGACGCGACUCAUUGCUGGAAGUGAACGCUUGCGAUGGAGUCGUCGUGGGGUUUAACUCCGUGUUGGAGCUGACUCGUUUAAAAGUGCACAGGCCGUACGUCCUGGAUCUGACGAAAGACUUCUUAUUAUGUCCAUUCUUGGUUUUAGAAAUAUUCCCAUGCUCAUCAUCACAAGCAGCAGGAGUUCGCUCCGGUUUCCCUCGAUGUUCAUCAUCCUUCUCGGUGGAUCGAGGCGAUCCGCGUCUUCUACAGUCCACUUUGGAAAAGUUGCUACCGUUUGUAAAGUUUGGGAAUUUAAAUCGCCUGAAAGAAUUCCUCACAUCCCCGGGAGAUCUCGGAGCAGGGGCGACUGUUUCCUCCGGCGACUCGGUUUCUCUUUUGGAAACGUUUAUUUCGACCACACACACAGUGGAGUGCGGACAGAGUCCCCCUCUGGCCUCCCCCCGUUGCGUUGCAACGUCAGCGCGGAGGUGGCUGUACCAAGCCAAGCCUUCAGACUGCAACAUCUGGAGAACAGCUCAACAGCUUCCAGACCGGGCAGAAAAGGAGGGGAGAGAGGGGGAGAGAGAGAGGAGACGAGAGGGAAGGGGGGAGGCCCAGGCUGUGGAAUAACUGUGGUUUUUCCGACUUCCCCUUAAUUUGAGGAAAAUGUGUGCUGCUGGCUGGAAUACUUUUAAUGAGUGGGUGUACAGCUCUUUCUGUUUAUAAUUUACCCAGCACUUUCCAUAAAGAGAAAGUUACGCAUCUUAUAUAAUAUUUACUUGAUGAGUCAAUGUAAUUUUUAUAUUCCAUGUCAAUGAAGCUCUGUUGAAUACAAUUGAGAGACUAAUUAAAGUAAAUCCUAGUUCCCCUUACAACUGAUCCCACAUUGCAAUGAUAUUCCAUCUGACAAAGAUGUUCUUUCAUUAUUCUCAUAAGUCUGCUCAAUAUCCACACAAAAGUGACCCUCUGAUAGGUAUUUGUGUACACACUGCGGACCGACUCUUGCUCAAAAGUACAUACAGUAUGUAGAGGGAAGGAGAUAUAACAUUGCUCCUGAGGCAUGACAUAAAGAGGCAUCACUUCCACACAACCUUAAUGGAAGCCACCAGUUUCACUGCCCUUCCAAACGCAGACUUCUUCGCCUUAAUCCUCAACCCCAUUACAAGUUGAGUCUUAACCCUCUCUCCGCUACCAGCAGCUCCAACCCCUGCCAGUGCCCUUCUUCCAGAUGAAAGCAGACAGAAUUCCUCACUUCAAAGCAGUGAUUCCCACAGCAGUCAUUAAAACGCAAGUUCUCUCAGCGUCACUCUCUUAGAUUAAACAGAGUUGUCUAAGGAAACUUCAGCAGCGAGACCUCUGAGAGAGAGAGACCAAGCUAAACCAACUAAACAGAUGUGCUCAGCCC
ensembl:lncRNA